rnacentral:rRNA from 1 species
CAUGCAGGCGGUUAUACAAGUAGGAUGUGAAAGCCUGGGGGCUCAACCUCAGAACUGCAUUCUAAACUGUGUGACUAGAGUAUUGCAGGGGGGAGACGGAAUUUCAGGUGUAGCGGUGGAAUGCGUAGAUAUCUGAAAGAACACCAAAGGCGAAGGCAGUCUCCUGGGCAAAUACUGACGCUCAUAUGCGAAAGCGUGGGUAGCAAACA